rnacentral:rRNA from 1 species
GAUGAACGCUGGCGGCGUGCUUAACACAUGCAAGUCGAACGAAGCACUUUACUUUGAGGCCUUCGGGAAGAGAGGUAUUGUGACUGAGUGGCGGACGGGUGAGUAACGCGUGGAUAACCUGCCCCAUACAGGGGGAUAACAGUUAGAAAUGACUGCUAAUACCGCAUAAGACCACGGCACCGCAUGGUGCAGGGGUAAAAACUCCGGUGGUAUGGGAUGGAUCCGCGUCUGAUUAGCUUGUUGGCGGGGUAACGGCCCACCAAGGCGACGAUCAGUAGCCGACCUGAGAGGGUGGCCGGCCACAUUGGGACUGAGACACGGCCCAA